GGAGAAAUAAGAAAGAAGAAGAGAAAAGAAAAGAGCCUAUACGGCUUUGGCCAUAGAAAAAUUGACUCCUUAAAAUCUUGUUCCAAAAAUUAUUUUCUUGUUGUAUUUCCACUAAUUCAAGGCUCCUCUACAACUUGGUGUAGUUGUUUUGGAAGAUAGAGCCCUUGCUUCAUCAAUUUGACACCUUGGUUAAGUGAAGAACUAAGGAGGAAAAGAUUUUGGAGCAAACGGGAUUUGAGUCUAAGCGAGCGUAAGACGCACGUAAGGUACAGACAUUUAUUGAGGUGAUCCGUCAGCUUAGGAUCCAUAGUUUGCUGUCUGGAGUGCUCCUUUGAUCCGGAGCCCAUACUUUUGGUACAGACCUUUCAGUUAUACAUAUCUUUAUGUUUAUGUCUAUGUUGGGUGCGGCGGGGCCCUGUCCCGUCAUAUGAUUCUGUUGUCUGUAUUAGAGGCCUGUAGACAUGUAUGUGGGUCAUGGGUCAUGUUUGGUCAGUGAAGUUUACUUGGUCUGUGUCCAGUAUUCUCCUACACUACGCUAACAUGAUCGAUUAUGCUUUAUGAUAUAAACAACGAUUUAAAAGAUAUGUUUAUAAUUUUGUACGCAUGGGAUUCGUAAUGUGUAAACGUAAGCGUAAUUUGGUUAGUAAGUAUGUACGGGUGUCCACGUCGGGCACCAGUUGCGGCCUACGGGGUUGGGUCGUGACAUAAAUAUACUUCCAAACUAUGUCUCCUUUGUCCCUUUACUGCUUUACAUGAUGAUCAAACAUACAGAUGGUAAAUACUUUUUUUGUCAAAAUAUAAAUCACGCAUGUUC